UACGGAGGGGGCUAGCGUUAUUCGGAAUCACUGGGCGUAAAGCGCGCGUAGGCGGACCAUUAAGUCGUGGGUGAAAUCCCGGGGCUCAACCCCGGAACGGCCUUCGAUACUGGCGGUCUGGAGGUCGAGAGAGGCGAGUGGAAUUCCGAGUGUAGAGGUGAAAUUCGUAGAUAUUCGGAGGAACACCAGUGGCGAAGGCGGCUCGCUGGCUCGAUUCUGACGCUGAGGCGCGAAAGCGUGGGGAGCAAACAGG
rnacentral:rRNA from 1 species